GGGCACGUGACCGCGGUCCGACCGGAAGUGGAGGGGCGGGUCCUGUCGUCUGGUCUUGAGGGGACCGGUUGCUCCCUGGCCAUUUCCAGACGCGACUUCAUCUAGGGCCUUCGAGGAUGUCGUGACAGACUUUUUGAGGCGUGUGUCUGUGGUCCGAGAUGCCCGGCUGUCGGCUGUUUGGAAACCCAGAGGGGAGUGACGUGGCUUUCCCUAGACGGCACCCUGGCUGUCCCUCUCAGAAAGUGACCAUCGAUUAGGAAUAUUGAGACUAAGCGGUUUGAAAUGGCACCGUGAGGACACAGAGGGUGGCUGGAGGGCAAGCAACAGCACCACAAAAAUGUCAGUGCCCCACGUUUGCAGAAUCCUGGGCCCGAGUUCUUGCAGCGUCAUCAGUUUGCAGUAGGAUGAGCUAAUGCCACACCUGGCAUUGCUUAGCGACACGGCUCUGAAAGGACGCUUCUGUGGAAGCCAGCGGUUGUGUCUUCUGACACAUUCCUUCACGAACUCGGGCUCAGGGGAAACAGGAAAUACCACCGGACCAUCGUUGCUUCACUGCUUGCUGAGUCAAAACAGUAUUGCUAGAGGGCUUCUUGGAACGCUUAAAUCUUCCCAACCCAGGAAUCCAACCGGGGUCUCUUGCAUUGGAAGCGGAUUCUUUACCAACUGAGCUAUCAGGGAAGCCCCAAGAAUACUGCACUGGGUAGUUAGUCCCUUCUGCAGGGGCUCUUCCUGACCCAAGAAUCGAACCUGGGUCUCCCACAUUGCAGGCAGAUUCUUUACCAUCUGAGCCACCAGGGAAGUCCCAUCUUGUCAGUGGCAGGUCCAAACUGGGGUGCCCCUCUUUGGCCUAACAAGAUGACCCUCGUGAUUAAUAUUUCCAAGCCCUAUAGUGCUAAGGAAUUGAAUUUUAAUGGAGAGUCAUGUUGUCAACCAUUGUGUGCACUAUCUGAAGUUAUGAAGGAAGAUGAGCACUAAAAAAGGGAAAAUAAAGAUAAAAAAUCAAGUGUGACUUCUCUUGAGCCUUUUUGUUAAACUAAUAGGAGACUGUAGGUUUUGCAAAGCAGUAAGAGACAUAAUUGGCCAAUAAUCCAAGAGCAAUUCUUCCUUUAUUAGUGACUUCACUAUUCCACUAUGAGUCCCUUUAGAGCAGAGACUGAGUCUUAUCUCUCCCUGUAUCCCUAGGUACUUAGAAACUUAUUUUGAAUUGAAUAAAACCAAGUUGGAUUAAUUGCUAGGUUAUGGUGUGUAGUGUUA
ensembl:lncRNA